rnacentral:lncRNA from 1 species
GAUACAUUCUAUUUUUAAACCUCAUCAAUUUCAUUAAGAAUAGGAUCACAAUUACGGUUAACACACACAUGUUCCAGAAACACUUCCACGUGCUUUACCUGUAGUAACUGUUUUAAAUUCUCAGGUGAGGAAUUUGACCACCCUCAUUUAACUAGCAAGUGGCAGAGUCAGAACUUGAGCAAAACAUUUUGGCUCUGCAGUCUGUGCUUUGAACCUUAAGGCUGUACUGACCAGGUUGCCUUAUCACACUCUUCUGCAACACCAUUUUUAGGUACUACUCAGCAUUCCAUUGCUUGGAUAAAUAAUAAUUACUUCAUAAAUCUCCUAUGAGUGGACAUCUAGCCCAUUGGUAUUUUCUCCCUACUAAGCAAUGUUAAGCUCUACCACCCUGAAAGCGCCCGAUCCCAUCCAAGCAAUGUUGAGCUGAAUCUAAUUAGAGCCCAUUUUUGUGCCAUCUGAUGAUCUCCCUAAAUUAAGGAUGUGCAUUUUUACCAUGGCUACUUAGAGGUGUUAUGUAGCACUCCCCACCCUCCUGCAUCUAGGGCAGGCCUCAAACAAGGCUGCAGCUCCAUCUUGCUCUGACAUUUCUCCACUGGCACCCACCAAGGUGUUACAUUUCCUGUCUUGAGGUUUCACAUCCUGCCCCUUAAACCACCCACAGUGCUCCACCCUUUGGGGUUUCGUAGGAAACAUCUCACACAAACACUCACUGAGCCAUGUGUCUCAGGCCAACAAACUUCUAAUCUAGCAGUGGGGGAAUACAGGGGUAACAAAUUACAUCAAUUACAAGUUGAUAUCACUAACUGAUGCUGGCUGGAAGCAUUUCUCAGCUUUCCUGGCACUGCCACUUUUAUCUCCUUUCAAUGACUCUCCAUUUCCUGACCUUACACUGUCCUUUUUCUUAGGUUGAACCACAAGGACCUGCUGACCUACAAAACCACUUGACCUACAAAAAUGGAAAUUUCACCUGGUUCCAUCUAACAAGGCUGAGAUGUUUAUUUCCCCAGUGGAGAACAUGGCAACAAUUUGUCAUGCUGGGAAGCUAUUCAAACAUCUGUUAAACCUUUCCUAUAUUGAGGGAAAUGUCCACCUUUUAAAUCCUGGUUUCCAGAGCAUUAUGCCAGAAACUCACUUUCCCAGACUUCCUUGAGACUAAAAUAAAUGAAUGUGCCCCUGUUUCCUCCAGUCAGAUGCAAGAUUUUUGAUGCAGCAGAGAACAACAGGAAGAGCUAUUCUGCCUUUGAAGAGAGGUGGGGGCUGAAAUGGGGAGAAAAAUCUAGGGUGCUUUAAAGUUCUAUUUCCUCACCAGGAUGGCUGAUUAUAUGAAAGCUUGCUAUGUAAUAAUUCUUUUAGAUUUUGUGCAUUUUUUGCAUGGGUGCUAUUCUUUCUUUCUUUCUUUCUUUUUGUCUUUUUAUAUUUUUAGAGCCGCACCAGCAGCACAUGGAGAUUCCCAGGCUAGGGGUCUAAUCGGAGCUAUAUCCUCCGGACUAUACCAUAGCUCACAGCAAUGCCGGAUCCUUAACCCACUGAGUGAGGCCAGGGAUUGAACCCACAACCUCAUGGUUCCUAGUCAGAUUCGUUUCUGCUACACCAUGAUGGGAACUCCCUGCAUGGGUGCUAUUCUUUUUUUAAAAAAAAUUUUAUUAUAGUGGAUUUACAAUGUUGUGUCAAUUUCUGCUGUACAGCAAAGUAACCCAAUUACACAUAUAUACAUAUACAUUCUUAUUUUCACAUUAUCAUCCACCAUGUUCUAUCACAAGUGAUCAGAUAUACUUCCUUGGGCUAUACAGCAGAAUCUCAUUGCUUAUCCAUUCCAAAUGCAACCCAUGUUCAUUGCAGUACUAUUCACAAUAGCCAAGAUGUGGAAACAACCGAAAUGUCCAUUGACAUGAAAAAAUUAAGAAGAUGUGGUCCAUGUAUACAAUGGAAUACUACUCAGCCAUAAAAAAGAAUGAAAUAACAGCAUUUGCAACAACAUGGUUGCAACUAGAGAUUCUCAUACUAAGUGAAAGAAGUCAGAAAGAGAAGGACAAAUAUCAUAGGAUAUCACUUUUAUGUGGAAUCUAAAAUAUGGCACAAACGAACCUAUCUACAAAGGAGAAACAGACUCACAGACACAGAGAACAGACUUGUGGUUGCCAAGGGGGAGGGGGAUGGGGAGGAAGUGGAAUGGACUGGGGGUUUGGGGUUAAAAAAUGCAAACUGUUACAUUUAGAAUGGAUAAGCUAUGAGGUCCUGCUGUGUAGCACAGGGAACUAUAUCCAAUCACUUGUGAUAGAACAUGAUGAAAGGUAAUAUGAGAACAAGAAUGUAGGAGUUCCUGUUGUGGCACAGUGGAAAUGAAUCCAACUAGUAUCCAUAAAGAUGAGGAUCAGUGGGUCAGGGAUCUGGUGUUGCCAUGAGCUAUGGUGCAGGUCUCAGACACAGCUCGGAUCCUGAGUUGCUGUGGCUGUAGCAUAGGACUAUAGCUGUAGCUCUGAUUUGACCCCUAGCCUGGGAACUUCCAUAUGCCAAAGGUGUGGCCCUAAAAAGCAAAAAUAAUAAUAACAAUGUGUGUGUGUGUUUUAUAUAUAUAUAUGACUUGGUCAUUAUGCUACACAGCAGAAAUUAGCACAGCACUGUAAAUCAACUACACUUUAACCAAAAAAAUUUUUAAAAGACUGGUUGGGACCCCUGACACUCCAACCUGGCAUGCACAGGUAUUCACUCAGUGACCUUUUGAAAUGACAAGGCCAAAAACUGCAUCCUCAGAUUGUGCUAAAUGCCUCCAUUUUUUAACAUAUGGAGGCCUGUAGUGUAGUUACAUGUGCGUGGAACACAAGUACCAUAGCUUUUCUCAAUUACCUUUUCUCACACUCCCUGUGCCUCAGACUGUCCUGCUUUCUUUUUUCCCCAGGCCCUGGCCUCCAGGGAGGCAGAUGUGAGAUUUGUUCUCCCAUCUCCAUGGUUGGCUGCCUGGUGAAUAAAUGCUUUCUUUGCUGCAAACCCUGGUGGCUCAGAGCUUUGGCCUUCAAAACUUAGUUUGCUAACACUCUAAUCGACUAUUUUUACCUCCUCUGAAAAUCAUAAAUUUUCCUACAUUAAUCCCCACUAUUUUUCCUUCCCUCACUGCACCCCAGAAAAUACAUGUGGACACACCAUCACCACCGCAACCCAGGAUACCCAGGAAUGUGUAAAAGUUGUGACACACUCAAGUGUCACUGGAAGGUAACCUUCCCGGGCAGAGAUGUUUGUCUCGUGUUCAGUUGCUCCAUCACAGCAUCUAGAAUGGUGCCCAGCGCAUAUUAAGUACCCAGUCGAAAUCUGUAAAAUGAGCAAGUACCCUGCCCUCAAAUGCUUUUGUCUGUUUGUUCAUCCAUCAAAGAACCAGUGCUUUUGGAGAGUGACAUGCUGGUAAAGGCUCUGGGCUGCGUGUAGGGGAUGUCAACGUGCUUAAGGCACAGGUCUGCCCAUGAACAAUUCGGAAUGAAUCGCUUACUCCAGAAAUAUUGCUACCAACCCUCAGAAUAUAUUUUGUCAUCUCUAUAAGCCCACCUGGAACUUCUCUUAAUGAAGAUGAGGGACAGUGCAGGUAGGAGGGGUGGUGUUUUGUUUAGUUUAGUUUAGUUUUGUUUUGUUUUAAUCAAGAAGGAAUGGGAGUUCCUGUCGUGGCGCAGUGGUUAACGAAUCCGACUAGGAACCAUGAGGUCGCAGGUUCGGUCCCUGCCCUUGCUCGGUGGGUUAACGAUCCAGCGUUGCUAUGGCUCUGGCGUAGGCCGGUGGUUACAGCUCCGAUUAGACCCCUAGCCAGGGAACCUCCAUAUGCCAAGGGAGCAGCCCUAGAAAAGUCAAAAAGACAAAAAAAAAAAAAAGAAGGAAUGAAGGAAUGUCUUCCCUCCAUUGAUCUCAGUUUCAGGCCAGACAGGAAGGAAGUAGCAAUAAUGCAGGAUGGUGGAUGAGAUAGUCAGGAAUGUACCCAUGUGUUUGGUCUAUGCUAGUGCCUUGACUCAAUGGUUGCGAACCAACUUUGACUAUGAGUAAGGCAAUAUCAGGGGCAGGGGGUGACCAGUAAUCAGACCUUUUCACACUCGCCAGUGGCUUUUCUGCCUGCUGUAUGAUCUGGCCUCUAUAUGGUCCUCACCCCUGUAUGAUUUGGCCUUGCCUGCAUCUCUGACCACCCUCAGACCUCCUCCUCACCAACUCUAUGCCCUCCAACAUUAAGCUUGUCCCACCUGUGGUCCAUUCUUCAAUCAGUCCCUCUUCUAGAAUGUUCUCUCCACUGAUGUUGUUUUUAUUGGUUCCUUUUGUAUCAUUGAAAAUCAACUUAAAUGAGUUCCCUUGGCCACCCAAACAAAGGUAGUCCUUUCACCAUUUCUUUCCGUGUGUGGCAAUUUGGGAUGUUUUCAUAUCUGGCAUUUUUCUUGUGUUUAUCGUUCAUCCUCCAUCUUCUUCCCUUCUCCCUUAUUUCCUUCCUUCUCUCUCUCUCUUUUUGUCUACCUUCUCCACUAGAUUCUUAGCUCCAUGAAAACAAAAGCUUUUUGGAUCCAAUUCACUGGAGUCCAAGACAAUGCUUCACAUGCAACAGAUACACAAUACACAUUUGCUUAAAGGAAACAUUUAUCUAGAUCUUUGAAAGCUGAGGCUGACAUCACUCCCUUCCAGGAUAGACUAUUACAUGCCAUGUGUUGAGCAAUUUUGGCAGAAUUUUCACAGUCUCAUGGAAACCACAUGUAAGGUAAAAUCUAAGCUUCCUGAGAAAAGUAUGUAUUGAUAUUAUGAUCUGGGCCAUCACUGGCUAACGGAAUGUGAAAAUAAGUGGCCCAUAUAAGGUAAUGGCUAAAAUUCAAGGUGACUAAGAAAUAAGUCAGCAUUACAUUAUUCGGAGCAUUGAAUAUAUCCUUUGUUAAUGUGAAAAUUUUUAAAGUUUGAUGUCCUUCAGACACAGCUCAGGGAACAAUCAUCAAAUAAACAUGCUCCCCUUUCUAAAUGUUCUCCCACACUCUGCUGCACUUAACCCUCAUAGCAGUCCUCGAGAAGGGCCUAUUCCUCAUCACCAUUUUGCAGAUGAAAAAACUAAGCUUAGUGAAAUCAAGCAAUUUGCUCAAAGAUACAGAGCCAAGCCUACCUUCAGAGCAAUUAGGAAUUGUUACCAGGGUUAGAAAUGAGCAACAAGGAGUUCCCAUUGUGGCUCAGUGGGUUAAGAACCCAACGUGGUGAUCAUGAGGAUAUGGGUCUGCAGCUUUGAUUUGACCCCAAGCCCAGGAACUUCCAUAUGCCACAGGUAAGGUUGUAAAAGAAAAAAAGAUAGAAAGAAAUAAAUGAGCAAGAAUAAUAAAGCAUGUGGGUUAAGAGGAAUCCUUGAGACAUUUUUUUUAAUUGCUUUUUUUUUUUUUGGUUUACAGCACAACUCCAGAAAAAAAUUCUAAGCCACUCCAAGGUCAGAAGACGAUGACUCUGUUCCCAGCUCUGCAGCCAACCAGCUGUGCAGCUAUGACAGUGAAUGAGUCUUUCGAGAUUAUAGAUGAGAAAGACCACAGACGGUAUGAAAGAGUCUAUUUGGCUCAAGAUAUUUUUCAGCAAAAUGCUCAGACUCUAAAAGCUCCUGGUGCAUUCCUGGUUGCUUUUAAAACAUCAGCCUAAUCAAACCAACAGCAGCUAAGUGAGAGAGAAAAAGAGUCUGAGAUACUUACAAGAUGAUUUGGCAAUAAAUAACAGAAAAGACCUAGAAGAAUAUUAUUCUGCUGUUAAAGUUAUUCUGAGGCCAUUUUGCACAGAAUUUUUUAAACAUUAGGUAAUUUUUUAAACAUUCACAUAUAGUUAUAAAAGCAUUGGGUAGAAAGAAUUCACAUUCUAAUUGUUUCCAAAGUGUCAUGUUCAACAUUGGGUAGGACACACAAAAGAUGCCAAGAGAGCAUUUGCCUUGCCAGUGAGAUUAGUAGAACCAACACAGGAAACCAUCCAUCCAAAGAGUCAUCCCAAUCAUCACAAUAAUGAAUUAAUAACUUGAAAGUUUAUAUUUUCUGAAAGCUUCUGCUUAAGUCAGAGAGUCAUCAGAGCUUUAUUUCCAGAACAAUGGAACAGGGAACUUUGUUUUCCUUCUGGCCAGGCUAAAUGGGGCGGUUCUCAGGAUCUUAGAUUCACAGAUUAUUUUUAUGAGGGCUUAAGAAAGAGAAACAAGGAGUUCCCAUUGUGGCACAGUGGUUAACGAAUCUGACUAGGAACCAUGAGGUAGCGGGUUCAAUCCCUGCCCUUGCUCAGUGGGUUGACAAUCUGGUAUUGCCGUGAGCUGUGGUGUAGGCUGCAGACGUGGCUCGGAUCCCGCAUUACUCUGGCGUAGGCCAGCAGCUAUAGCUCCGAUUAGACCCC